rnacentral:lncRNA from 1 species
CAUGCUGCUACACACAUUUACACCCCGUUACACACAUUUAUACACCGCUACAUGCCGUUACACACAUUUACACGCUGUUACACACAUUUACACACCGUAACAUGCCGUUUCACACAUUUACACGCUGUUGCACACCAUUACAUGCCGUUACACACAUUUACACACUGUUACACGCCGUUACACACAUUUAUACACCGUUACAUGCCCUUACACACAUUUACACACUGUUACACGCCGUAACACACAUUUAUUCACCGUUACACGCCAUUACACACCACCACACACCGUUACACGCCGUUACACACAUUUCCACACCGUUACACACAUUUACACACUGUUACAUGCCUUUACACACUGUUCCACACCGUUACACACAUUUACACACUGUUACACGCCGUUACACACUGUUACACGCCGUUACAUGCCGUUACACACUGUUACACGUCGUUACACGCUGUUACACACAUUUACACACUAUUACACGCCGUUACACACAUUUAUACACCGUUACAUGCCGUUACACACAUUUAUACACCAUUACACACUGUUACACGCCGUUACACACAUUUACACACUGUUACACGCCGUUACACACUGUUACACGCCGUUACACACAUUUAUACACCGUUACACGCCGUUACAC